GUUGUCUACACUUUUUUUUUUCGUGCCCUCACAAUUGUGCUUGCUCUACUCUCUAUAGAGAAAUUUGCUCUAUUGGCUCUUGAAACAUGUGAAUUCGCAAUUUUGACACUCCAAUAUAAUAGAUUCAUAAUUUUGACACUCCAAACAUUGUGUUGCUUGAUUUCCUGACAUUCUCCCUUUCUAAUAUAUUUUCUUUUGUUUUUUUACUUUUCUUUUUUAUCAAAAGACUACAGCACCCUUGCCUCUCUCAUUCUCUCUUUCUUCCUGAAUCCCGGCCCAUCGAGUGAACUUAUUUUGGUACAAAUGUGAUGAAGGUUUAGUUAUCAAGCCAUCGUGUGAACUUAUUUUGGUCCAAAUGUAAUGAAGGUUUAGUUAUGAAUUAUAUGUGAGUUAUACAAUCGGUGGUUGAGAAGUGUGUGAACUAUGCCACCUAUGGAUGUGUCUAAUGUAGAGAUAUUUAUGCUAAAAAAUAUCUUGUGGCAUCAUGCCAGUUAGGUGGCCGCAAACUUAUUUGUAUUAUGUAAUGUUGUCAUAUAGCUUAGGGGCAAGAUCAACGUUUUAGGUAGCCUAAACAGCAAAAAAGAAAAUGAGUGUGUGUGAUAAGAUUAGAAUGUCAUAAAAUCAAGCAACACAGUAUUUGGAGUGUCAAAAUUGCGAAACCACAUGUUUAAGUGUCAAUAGAGCAAAUUUCUCUUCUCUAUAUAUACUCAUCCGAUAAAAAUAAUUGUCACUGUUGAGUUUCCAUUUUUUGUGGUUUACAUUGACCACUAUUUUCUAUUAUAAUAUAGGUAUAAUAUCAUAUAGAUAAAUGAGAUUAUGAAAAAAUUAAUUCAAGACAAACCAACCCAUAUGAUUUUUAUAUUUUCAAAUUAAAUAUCUUGAAACUUAUUGACAGUCGAUAUUUCAAUAGUUUGACUGGAAAAUGUGGCCUUUUCGCUCAACAGGGAAAUUACUUUAUUUGGGUAUCUGUGUAACACUAAGUUCUAAAUUCCCUGUGAACUGAGCGGAGUUAAGUUGGUAAGUUUCCUUGUGGUGGAGCCUGUCCACCCAAUUUCGAGUUCUCGACUCGGUAUGGGUUUUCACAUUUUUCCUAGAUUUGUUCGAUGAAUUAAUUGGCGUUAUUCUUUCAGUGGUAGGCUCGACGUGCCCAUCAAUAGCGAAGCGCAUCUGAUGACUUCAUCGAUCUUAAGAUCUAUCGGCUCAGUCUCUUGGAGGUGCUCAUAGGGGUAAGGUUGAUUGCUUCUGUGUAUUCAUAGGGGUGAAUGCGCUUUAAGUGUUUUUGAGUGUCUUCGUUUGUACUGUGAUUCAUAAAAAAGUGUUUCUUAAUUCCCUUUUCUUCUUUGCAACAUGUGGUUGUUUCUCCUCUGUGGCUAGCUCUUGGCCCCCAUGCUUUCCACGCAGUAGCUUUACCUUUACGCUUUGCAUGCACCUGAUCUGGAGAGAUGGAGAAUGAGCUAUGAUUAGCGCCAAAUGUAUCCUGAUUCAAUCCGGAGGGAUUCGGCAACACAUGUGAAUACGGCUGAAGAUUAACUGCUGCCGAUGGGCAGCAGUCUUAGUCAUCUAAGAUUAAGCUGCAGUUAGCACUGGAUGUCACAAUUAACAACAAUCAAACACAAUGCUCAGAGACUCAGAACGUGCCCACUAUAACAAGUUCCAAUACAGUUGAUGAGUCUGACAAUUGCUAGGUAGACAUCACAUUAUACUUGAACAAUGCUCCUCAGCUACAUAGUGAAGGGGUAAACCCACAAAGUCCCUGUCCACCCAUAGAAAAGUGGCAAACUCGAUCAGACGGGGAUAUUGAGAAGAAGUGAAGCAAUUAACACGACAGAUUAAGAUUCAAGAAUCCAAAAGAUGGCGGGAGACGAUAGCAAAAGCAUCUGCAAACCAACAUGGAAACCAAUCUAUCGAGCAGAACGAGCAUCAGCAGUCGCAGCGUCGCCGGCAUCGUCGGGCCAACUCGAUAUCCCAGCAUGGGUGAGCAACGCCCAGAGGAGCGUUAUCAGCUCUCCACCCCGUGCGGUGGCCUUCAAAUGACCUCUAACAUUGUCUGAGGGAGCAAUGUACAGGACCAUCCCUGACCAGAAUUCAGCAAGCACCUUCCAAGCCGUAUCCUCACCAUCGGCCAGUAGUUGCUUUCCAAGCCUGACUCCAUUCUUGAGAACAUCAUACUUCGAAUUCACACUUAGUAAUAACUGGGCCACCUGCUCAUACUCGGCCACUGGUGUUAAUGAUAAUCCUUCUGCAGUACGGCCCGCGAGGGCACGCUUAGCGUCCUUCUUGACAGUAUCAUACAGGCUCUUGCUCCAUUCAUCAUCAUCUGGAAGCAGAUCUGGAGACCAGGCCAUUAGGUAUGCACAGUACUUUGACAGGUGAGUAGCAAUAAUCUUGUCAUUCAAAUCAGAAGGAGAACCUUCUUGACCAUGUUGGCAUGGGGGCCUAACCUCAAGGAGGCAUGUAGCAAUGUGCCAUGUAAGUAUGGUUUCAGAUGUGCCAUUGCUGCUGCAGGCCCAGAGGAACCUUCCAUCUAUUCGGCUCAGGCGUAGAGACUCUGUGCCAUUGCUUAAUUGGUGCCUAUUGUAGCUGCCUCUCAGAGCACUGAUGAUGCGGGCCUUCACUGCUUCUGGUAUCUUCACACUCCUAUCUAGGUCCGGGAGACGGAGGAGACGUCUAAGAGAACAAGCAGGGUUGUUCUUGGGUGAAGGACAAUUAUUGAGCUCUGGCCCAUCUUUUCGUCCCAAUGCUUCAUCAGCCCCCAUUUGCAAUUCAGCAGAAGGCCAAACCAAUUUUGCACGUGGAGAGAAGGCUGCAAAGAGGCAUGGUUUAUAUGGUGGCAGAUGAGAGCUACUUUGGUCCAGUUAGAGCAAACGUAGGACACUAUGUACUUCGCCUCCGCUAUCACAACCAAUGCCAGAAGCAAAAAUAAAGGAAUGUCAUCAAAGACGAAGAAUCCAAAAUUUUUAUCCUGCCUAUCGCUUACCAAGAACUUAUCAUUACACCAGAAAUGACAACGUAGCUGAUGGUUAUACUUGGUCUUCCAAUUUGAUAGGAGCCCCAUCAUGAUAAAUCUUGUAGCCAACAUGCAGUAAGUUAUGCUUAAGAGUGAGAUACUGACACUCAAGAUGGGCAACCAAUGCUUCGAAUAGGAGACUGGAAGUGAUGAGUAGUAAUAAUCUUGAACGAAAGAAAGCUCAUCUGCAAUUACCCGAAACACCUUUUCAUGGCCGCCAUCUUUGAGCAAGCUCCAGAAAUAGUUGAGGGCCCCCAUAGAUGUAACAUUGGCACGCUCAUACCUCGCAAAUCGACAUCUCAACAAUUUGAAAAAUCCAAAUGACAAGCACAGGUCAGCACGAUCUUUGUCCAUUUGCCAAACCAUGUCAACGGUCACUAAGCCAAUGCUAUUGUCAAAGUCUAAAUACCCAGGAGGCUGCUCCGGUAUACCCUCUUCUCCAAUAACCAAGAGUGGAGGAGGCACAUCCUCACCUACCGAUGCUUCACCGGGUUGCCUUGUUUCUUGCAGUUGUAACCGCUCCAUGUACAAAGAGACAGCACGAGGAUUACGCCCAAAUGCCAACGAUUUCCGGGCCUUCUCAAAUGCAUAAUAUUUUAAGACGAUUUUAGCACAAACAAUAGCAAAAGGCAUUAAUUCAAGGUAAAGGGGCCAGAUAUUGGUCGUAAUCGGACCCAUGGCAGUGACGCCGAGGUAUAGGGUCCAAACACCUUGAACAAGGAGUUGGACAGGGGGACCUUUGUUCCUACCCUCUCUAUCGCCAACAGCGACUACUACGCUAGUAUUGAUAGUGAUUAUCUGAAUGAGAAAGGCCCAUGAUACGGCUGUAAAAUAAUGAAAACCUCCACGGCAUGUCGCAGCCAAGGUUCCAAACUCAUAACUGUUGAUGUAAUCUGUUGGUGCUAAUGCUAGACAAGACGUACGAUGUAAUCGGCAAUAACAAGGUACUGGCUCCAAGAUAGAUGAACCGCGUGAAGGGGUGGUGGCGGUAGCGCUGGCAAUAGGCGCCUAUCCCAACUAUAACUCCAGCCAAGAUAGCAUCGAUGAGCACCAGCAUGUUCACCCGCCACAAGGUCCCUCCCAUGGUCUUACGGAAGGCUGCCCAGGAUUCAUGUGAGCACCUAAUGCUCGAGGAGCAUUGCUGGAGUGAAGCAUCGGAGCAGAAGGUGGUGGAAUUCUCCCCAGCCAUAAGCUAGCCGACUGCCAAACCUCAACAAAAGAACAAGAUGUUGGCACAAAUUAAACCCACAAAGAAGUAACUUAUGCUCCAAGGGACAUGUACUAGGCGAAAUUAAAAGCUUGAUUUCCUUUAUAAAGGAACUAAACGAUUGAAAUGUAACAAGACGACAGUUGCUUGGUGAUUGUAUUAGGGCAGUCCCAAUGGGACAUUGAUGAUAGUUUCUAUCCCUCUUAAUUAUCAUGCCAACUAAGCAAUUUGCUGAUGUGGCAGUAGAUUUAUUAUGGAGAGAGAGAGAAACCAUUUCUUAGAGAGGAAACCAAGUCCUCACGUGCACCAAUGAGCCAAGAAACCAGUGAUUCAGCAUUGGGGAGACCCAAGUAGUUUCUUCUUAAUUACUGCAGGAUCCUUUGCGCUUGCACCGCUGCUACCCAUCACUCGAGCUCCUUUACAUGAUGCACAGAGGAUCUGGUACUAGAUGGGAGAAUGAUUGGUUGGAUUUUUAUUUAGACUCUACAUAAAAAAGUUGCAUUGUGAAGGAUGAUUUCUUGAUACAAUAUCCUAGACUAUGGAAACUAGGUUGGUUUCUCCCAUUAGGACUGCCCUUAUGGUAAGUAGGAAGAGAGAUUUCCACUUACAGUAGUUAUGCAAUCCGGCGGCCUGCUGGGAAAUAAUGCCUCCUUGUGUUAAUGGUUGUAUGCUGAACGGCUUUGCAAGUAAUGCGUGCGAUGGCUUAUCGUUCACGAGGUUGCGUUGUUCUCUAUUCCUUUGUCCCGAUGUGCUUCGUAACUUGGAGAGGGCUCGAAUAUAUCUGCAUGCUUUUGAUGGAGUUGUCUGCCAAUCACUCAAUCCAAACCAAUUUGACUUUCUGGAAUAUAUACUAUGUUGUUAGAGUUCAUCUUGACAUCGAUCCGCGUAAAGCGUGUAAGAAGAUAGGGAGUGGACUUUUUGGAUGGGGAAGGAACCAUAUAAAAUACUAAAAAAACAAAACUUGGGCGGGCAUCGUGAAGAUACCAGGAAAUUUUUGUAGAAUCUUACUAUUACUAAUUGGAGGCUCCUUUUGAAGCCUCCAGGUAAAGCCACCUAGGAUUCCUAGGUGGACACUCUAGAAAAAGAGAGAAAUCCUAGAAAUUCUCAUAAAAAAGCAAAACAUCCGACCAUCAAUCGAUAGAUUCAAAUCAUCAUAGCCAUUGGAUCUAUUACAUUUUCUAAAAAAUUACCCACCUAUGCCAUUACAAAACUAGCCUAAAGUAACCCCCUAAAUCUAUAUAUAAAGUACCCACCUAUACCAUUAUAUAAAAUAAACUAAAGCAACCCCUAAUCUUCAUCACAAUUACCCACUUAUACCAUUAUAAACAAUAUUUAAAAUAACCCCCUAAUUUGCAACUGAAUUGCCCACCACUGUUACUUAAAAAACUUAAAGUAACAUUUUAAAUUUGCAUCUAUCUUACCCACACAUGCUAUAUUAAAAAUAACAUAAGAUAACCCUACGUUUGAAUCAAAUAACCUUAAUUAAAAAUAUACAACAAUAUAUGAUUCUAAAUCAUCUAUAUCUUGCACUAUUGGUAUAUGAUAUAAUAAUUAAGGUCUAUACGCAUGAUGUGUGUCACCAUUUAUAAAGAUCUAAAGUGAUGUAAAUAUAGAUUUCUACGUUAAAAUUGUUUCUCAAACUUAGGGUUCAUUAAACAAAUUCAAGCGCAUACCUGCGAUGUAAAGUGAAAAGUUAAAGAUUAUAAAUAUGGAUGAAAAUAUUAUAGAGUAAUUACAAACUAAAAUCUAUCACAAUUGGAUGAAGAUAUUAAGUAUAUAUCUAUAUAAGUAUUAUGUUCGAAUAUUUAACAAACGAGAGGUAGCUUAUGGUAAUAGUUUUGUAGCAAUGUAGUCUUAUUUUUUUUCCAUUGGAGGCUCCCCAUUAGUUCCCAUGAGACAAGCUAGAAAAAAGAGAUAAAUUCUCAUAAAAAUUAAAAACAUCAAACACCAAUCCUGUAAACUCUAAUAAUCAUAGCCAUUGAUCUAUUAUAUUUUCUAAAAAAUUACCCACCACUAUCAUUGUGUAAAUAUUAAAAAAUGAGCUAUAAACCUAUAUCUAAAUUACCGAGCUUAGCUAUUAUAAAAAAUAAUCUAAAGUAACCCUGUAAUCUUCAUCCAAUUUACUAAUACUUAUCAUUAUAAAUCAUUAUAAAGCAUAACUUAAAAUGUCAUUCUAAAAUUUUAUCUAUGUUACCCACGUACGUCGUUAUUAAAAAUAACCUAAUAAAGUAAACAUGUGCAUCAUACGUCCAAAAGUAAAUUAAUAUAUGAUUCUAAAUUACCUAUUUAUGUCAUUGUUAAUAUAAAAAUACUAAGUUAAAGUAUAUACACAUGAUGAAUCCCACCAUUUAGACCAUUUAUACAUGUAUGUGAGCAAUCGAUGAAAAAUAUUGAUUUGUAUGCUAAACAUAAUGUAUGGAGGAUUGGAGGUGCGAUACAAAAUGGAAAAAGUAUGAAUAUGGAUGAAAAAGUGUAUAGAGUAAUUAUUAAUCAAAAUCAAUCAAGACAAAGAUAGGUACAUAUCUAUAUAAGUAUUAUGUU
rnacentral:lncRNA from 1 species